AUGACCCCAUGGUGGAUCCACCUGGAAACAGACCUGCUAAUGAGCGGAGACAGAGCUGGCACAACCCCAAGGGAAGCCUGUCGGGCCAGCUCCCCUGGAGGUGCUAAGGGUGUGUGGUCUGAGACUGGGAGAGCUGGGAAGUACGGCCUGGGAUCCGUCUGGGAAAACCACAGCGAGAUCUUAUGCCUCUCCAUCCGCAUCUGCCUGCUCUGCGGGGUCAGGAGACAACAGAGCGGGGGAAGGGGCCACGAGGUUGAGAACGAAAGGCAGGAUGGAGCUUCCCAUUCCAGCCUCUGCUCCAAACUGCUGGUGACCUUGACCAAGCUGUCAAAGCUUUCUGGGCCUCAGUGUCCCCAUCUUUCAGGAAGGGAUACCAAAAUCAUUCCUGCCAUCUCCCCACUUUCCCAGGGUGUUGAGAGGAUAAGGGAGGAUUUUUUGUUUUCCAGCAGGAGCCUCCGUGCCUUGGGGACAGAGUGGAGCGGAAUGUCCAGUGUAGUUCACAGUCCUGCCUUCCACCCUCCCACUCGUCCCUCCACUGGGAAAUCUAAAUAUAUUUCUAGGGAACCUCAUUCCUCCCGCCCUGGUUUCCUUUCCAGGGCAUGCCUGGGAAAGCUCUCAGAACUUGGGAGUAAAGGCUGCUGUAGGGACGUGCCUGAGUGCUUCUCCUCUCUGACCCUGGGCUUUGGUCCCCAGGAGGGCUGAUCACAGUCCGGAGGCCCAGGGGCUGAGAUGGCCCAGAGAGACAAAAGGUGUGGCAGUGACAAGGAGGGUGAGAAAUGCAGUAAGGUCAGUGGUGGGGUGGGGUUGGGGGCCCCCACAGAGAGACGGGGAGUAAACAGCCCAGCCACUGUCCCCAGGUCCACCUGGCUGAGGCUGAAGGCAGGGCUCCGGGGCUCUGAGGCGGGUCAGCUUCGGCUCCGGCCAGCCUGGGGUGGGGCAGCAGUGACAAGACUCCUCGACAACAGGAUAAAUAAUCUUCAGCUGCAACAAUAAAGAUCAAUUAUGACCUAAUCGCCCAGCCCAGUUCCAAAGGCCCGGGGGGUGGGUCUCUUUCGGCCUGUCCCUCCAGGUUUAAUUACCUGAAGAGUCUUUGGACUUUGGGAGACCCAAAAGCCAAAGAAGAUCUGCAAUAAUUAAGCCAGGGAAUGGCCUUCACCAAAGACGUGUCUGUGGGCAUGGGGCAGCGGGCAGAGGGCAUGGUAGGUCCCCCCUGGGUGCAGGUGUGUGGGGCGGGCGUGGGGUGGGGACGGAGAACAGAAGCAGAGGAAGGGAGGCAGUGAGGCAGAGAGCUCCGAGGUCAGGGAGGAAACCCGAGUGAGCCUGAGGCAUUCUCCGCCCCGUGAGGCAGGAACACGGGGAAGCCGCCCUCUGAGGACCCCUCUCACCCGGGAGUCCCCUCCAGUGUUCAUGGCACAUUUGCAAAUGCUGGAAUGGUUGGCAGUAUCCUUGAAGGGACUCAAACGGCUCAGAACAACACUAACCAAGCCAGCGUGGUUGUCGCACUCACCGCUGCAGUACACAAAGACGCGGGGUCCAAGAAAGCACCUGCCCUUGUCUCCCACUCGCCCUGACUUGUCAGCCUUGGGGUACAGCUGUCUCUCUCUGACACCAGCCUGGCAAAGCUCUACCUGGCAUUACGGCUGUACCCUGCUUGGUACCAGCUGACACAACGUGCCCAGCUCGACGUGCCACAUGAUACACAUCACCGAUGGGAUCUGCAUCUCUCUUCCACCGUGUUGGCCCCUGGAUUCUUGACCAGCCCCUUCGGCAUCACAGCUCCUGAGAGGACAAUGGAAGCCACCAUUUUACAGAUGGGGCAUGUGAGUGUUCGUUUUCUAUCCAGAGGUGGCUCUUUGGACUCCCGUGUGCUUUCUAAAUGAAUUUUCACAUUGUUUUUUUUGCUAGUUGGGUGUACCUUUUUGGGGGAGGGGGGGCGUAUACCUUUUGUUUCGUUUUUAAACUAGGCUUCAUGCCAGGCGUGGAGCCCAGGGUGAGGCUUGAACUCACAACCCUGAGAUCAAGACCUGAGCCGAGAGCCAAGAGUCGGAAGCUCGAGCGACUGAGCCACCAGGUACCCCGGGUAUGCCUUUAUAAUGACGGUUUUACAUUGUGUCCCCGCAUCCUAUCACCGCCAUGACGGAGGCUCACCCUGGUUAAGUUGUGUGCCCAAGCAGCCCGCUGGGGAGAGAAGACAGAAGACAAGCUGCCUGUGAGCAUGAGACCCAUCCCCCACUCUCGCACGGAGGUGCUGCUGUGUUUUAAAAUCACCUUGGUGGAUUUA
rnacentral:lncRNA from 1 species